rnacentral:rRNA from 1 species
GACGAACGCUGGCGGCAUGCCUAACACAUGCAAGUCGAACGAGCUCUUCGGAGCUAGUGGCGCACGGGUGCGUAACGCGUGGGAAUCUGCCCUUAGGUUCGGAAUAACUCAGGGAAACUUGAGCUAAUACCGGAUGAUGUCUUCGGACCAAAGAUUUACCGCCUAAGGAUGAGCCCGCGUCGGAUUAGCUAGUUGGUGAGGUAAAAGCUCACCAAGGCGACGAUCCGUAGCUGGUCUGAGAGGAUGAUCAGCCACACUGGGACUGAGACACGGCCCAGACUCCUACGGGAGGCAGCAGUGGGGAAUAUUGGACAAUGGGCGAAAGCCUGAUCCAGCAAUGCCGCGUGAGUGAUGAAGGCCUUAGGGUUGUAAAGCUCUUUUACCCGGGAUGAUAAUGACAGUACCGGGAGAAUAAGCCCCGGCUAACUCCGUGCCAGCAGCCGCCGUAAUAC